AGGUGUUAAGAGUGCCAGCUGCGUGAGGUUCUAAACACACAAGUUGGAAAAGCACAAAUAUAAGGUGGGGUGGCAGCCGUCCUCCAGGCACUCAACAGAAGGAACAACCACUGAGGCACUGACGGCCCCCAGGUAGUUCAUCCCCAGGUGUGCCAGGUGUUAAGAGUGCCAGCUGCGUGAGGUUCUAA